rnacentral:tRNA from 1 species
GGCCUCGUAUCUAAGCUGGUAGAGCGUGCGCUGUACUAAAACGUUGGGCAGCAUCCAUGAGUGGGUUCGAAUCCCACCAAGGCUA